CCUGUAUUCAAUUUCAUGAAUUCUUUUAUAGUGAAUGUUAUUAUAAUAACUUCAUGUUGCCUUGUCAUCCAUUUUGAAUGCAGGUUUAAUUUUCACUAGAAGAAGGGCUCAGUCACUCUUGACACAGUUUCUAAUUCUAUGCCACACCUAGGAUGCUCAGCCUGGUCACCAGAGAGGACUGAUUUUCUGGCUCAUGCCCUUCUUGUUCAGGAACUGCUGGAGUGCAAUGGCAAGAUCUUGGCUCAUCACAAACUCCGCCUACUGGGUUCAAGUGAUUCUCCUGCCUCAGCCUCCCAAGUAGCUGGGAUUAUAGGUGUGAGCCACUGCAUCCGUCCGAUUGUGCCUUUCUGAAGCAAUAUCUAUGUGUAAAAAUUUGGCAGCUCUCUAUGUCAGGCCUAAUGCCCUAGUGGGUCAAGGAUUUAUUCUAUAACUCAAAUUGUUAAAACCUGUUUUGGAGCUCUGGAGAUUUCUCUUUUACUGUUUUCCCAUACCCAGGAGCAGCUCUCAGUUGGUUCCUGACUAGGCAAACUGCUUUGAACCUUCUCUUUACUUACAGCUGGCACUUACUAUCUCUUCUCUGAUGAAUCCAAGCAUCCUUUCCUAGAAGAUCUGUACAGGAUGUGAGUAUCUACUUACUAUUCUAGCUCUUCUCCAUGUUGGAGGCAUGUACUACCUGUGUCUAGUCAGCCAUCUUGGUGUCUUCUCCAGUAGUUCACUGCUGUGGGAGGAACACCAAAGUAACAUGAAAAAAGGCUUAGAUAAAUAAAGGAGUAAAGGUUUGGGACAGUAAUGAAAUCCACUGCAAGGGUCCAAAUACACCUCAAUGCUGUGGAAUAGCAUUAAAUUCUAUGGAAUAUCAAGAAAAUUAAGGUCAUUUCGGAUUUGGUUAUGACAUAGAUGCUGGAACUUUGAAAUAGUUCUGCAACCAGACAAAAAAGGUAGGCUGUGGUUUCCUUUGUGGAAACCAAAAUAUUUCUUUUUCUUUUUUCAUUAAAACCAAAAUUAUACCUCUAAGAUGAUUAGCAGUUUCUACCUUGGCCUAUCCAGACCUGAAGCCACCAUAUAAGAAUUAAGACUAGGCUUCAGGAAAGACCACAUAGAGAUGCCCUGAGAACCCACUAAAAGAAAGAAGGGGUCAGUUAGCCCAGGGCUUCAGCAAUCUACACCAAAGCAUCAGGCUUUCCAGACAAAAUCAGCUACCAGAUUAAUACCACUGGGUAAAGCAACAUGAGGCAGAAGAACUGGGCGACUUUGUGCUAAUUCCCGACACAUAAAAUUGUGAGGUAUAACAUCACAGUUGUUUUCAUUCACUAAUUCUGUGGGUAGACUGUUAUGCAGCAAUAACAGUCAAAUAACAAGAGCAGAAUUUGGUUCCAGGAAAUGGGAUGCUGUUCUAACAGAAAACAAGACUGUGUGACAUUGGCUUUGAAGCAGGUUGCAGAAUGAGAGCUGGAAGACACUCAAAGAGACUCAGUGCAAGUUGGAAGGGCCUUAUGGAGACUGCUGGGGAAGGCUUGGCGAACAUAAGGACAAUGCUAUUGGAGGCUGGAGAAAAAAACUAGGUCUAUUCUUAUGUUGUGACAGAAGCAACACCAUUGCCUAUGGGAACAGGGAAAAUAUAAAAGAUGCUUUAUAUGCUUCUGAGGUUGAUGGAAAAAAUUUUCUAGGCAACAUACAGAAAGGUUUAACUCACUUUUUUUCUAGCUACCUAUGAGCAGAGAGAUACAAGAAAAAAGAGAUAAGGAAAAAAAUUUUCGUUUUUGAACAAAAUUUACAAAUAAUAUAGAACACCUAGAUGGUCUUUCUAACUUGUGAAAGGCUCUCAAGGGAGGAUUGGCCUCAAGGCAAAGUUCAAACCCAGAUCAACAAAAUUUGAUCUCAGGGUAAAAGUAAAGUCAGAGGGAUGGCUAAGAGACCUUUACUAAGACCUAAGAAAGGUUCAGCUCUCUAAGAAUAUUAAGAAUGGGCUGUAUUAAUCCAAUCUCACUCUGCUAUAAAGAAAUACAUGAGACUGGGCAAAGAAAAGGGGUUUAAUUGGCUCAUGGUUCUGCAGGCUGUACAGGAAGCAUGGCGGGGAGCCCUCAGGAAACUUAGAAUCAUGGUGGAAGGCGAAGAGGAAGCUGGCACAUCUUACAUGGCCAGAGCAGAAGGAGGAGAGCAAGGUGGGGGUGUCAGACACUGUUUUUUUUAACUUUAAGUUCUAGGGCACAUGUGCAGAUCUUGCAGGAUUGUUGCAUAGGUACACACAUGCCAUGAUGGUUUGCUACCUCAAUCCCCCCAUCACCUACAUUAGGUAUUUCUCCUAAUGACAUCCCUCCCCAAGCUGCCCACCUCCUGCUAUCCCUCCCCUAGCCCUUCACCCCUCAACAGACCCCAGUGUGUUAUGUCCCCCUCCUUGUGUCUGUGUUCUCAUUGUUUAACACUUACUUAUGACUGAGAAUAUGCUGUGUUUCAUUUUCUGUUCCUGUGUCAGUUUGCUGAGAAUGAUUGUUUCCAGUUGUAUCCAUGUCCCUGCAAAGGACAUGAACUCAUCCUUUUUUAUGGCUGCAUAGUAUUCAAUGGUAUAUAUGUGCCAUAUUUUUUUUAAUCCAGUCUGUCUUUGAUGGGCAUUCAAAGACUUUGAUGGCUCCAAGUCUUUGCUAUUGUAAACAGUGCCACAAUGAACAUACUUGUACCUGUGUCUUUAUAAUCCUUUGGGUAUAUACCCAGUAAUGGGAUUGCUGGGUCAAACGGAUUUUCCAUUUCUAGGUCCUUGAGGAAGCACCACACUGUCUUCCACAAUGGUUGAACUAAUUUACACUCCCAUUAACAGUGUAAAAGCAUUCCUGUUUCUCCAUAUACUCUCCAGCAUCUGUUGUCUCUAGAUGUUUUAAUGAUCGCCAUUCUAACUGGCAUGAGAUGGUAUCUCAAUGUGGUUUUGAUUUGCAUUUCUCUAAUGACCAGUGAUAAUGAGCAU